GCCCUGGUGGCACAGUGGAUAAGCACUCAGCUGCUAACCGAGAGGUAGGCGGUUCACCGUUCCACGGCA
rnacentral:tRNA from 1 species